GGCAAAGUUGGCAUGUGAUACCUUUUCGGAAAGCCCAAAGAGAGCCCUCCGACGAAAGAAGCAGACAAUGGAACUUUUCCAUUGACUUUUUGUCGACUCCAAAUUUUGACCUUUAAGUACUUUUUCGGGCAUUUUCGUGAUUUGUGCUAUAUUACGGACCCAAAAUUACUCUUUCAAGCAUUGUUUUCGAAUAUUUUUCAUGCAUCAAAGCUCGUUAAGACUAGAUGGGGUAUCCCUACAUGGCGGGUGGGACCCACGGCGAACUGUUCAUCACGACUUAAAAAAAGAAUAUAUACGAUUUCAUUGCAUAUACUAACGGAUGGAUCAUACCAGCACUAAUGCACCGGAUCCCAUUAGAACUCCGCAGUUAAGCGUGCUUGGGCGAGAGUAGUAACUAGGAUGGGUGACCUCCCGGGAAGUCCUUGUGUUGCAUCCCUCUUUUUUUUUUUUUUUUUUUUGGU
rnacentral:rRNA from 1 species